rnacentral:rRNA from 1 species
AACGAACGCUGGCGGCAGGCUUAACACAUGCAAGUCGAACGCCCCGCAAGGGGAGUGGCAGACGGGUGAGUAACGCGUGGGAAUCUACCCAAUUCUACGGAAUAACCCAGGGAAACUUGGACUAAUACCGCAUACGCCCUACGGGGGAAAGAUUUAUCGGAAUUGGAUGAGCCCGCGUAAGAUUAGCUAGUUGGUGGGGUAAUGGCCUACCAAGGCGACGAUCUUUAGCUGGUCUGAGAGGAUGAUCAGCCACACUGGGACUGAGACACGGCCCAGACUCCUACGGGAGGCAGCGGUGGGGAAUAUUGGACAAUGGGCGCAAGCCUGAUCCAGCCAUGCCGCGUGAGUGAUGAAGGCCUUAGGGUUGUAAAGCUCUUUCAGUGGGGAAGAUAAUGACGGUACCCACAGAAGAAGCCCCGGCUAACUUCGUGCCAGCCGCCGCAGUAA